rnacentral:rRNA from 1 species
UAGCUAAUCCUGGUCGGACAUCAGGAGGUUAGUGCAAUGGCAUAAGCUAGCUUGACUGCGAGCGUGACGGCGCGAGCAGGUGCGAAAGCAGGUCAUAGUGAUCCGGUGGUUCUGAAUGGAAGGGCCAUCGCUCAACGGAUAAAAGGUACUCCGGGGAUAACAGGCUGAUACCGCCCAAGAGUUCAUAUCGACGGCGGUGUUUGGCACCUCGAUGUCGGCUCAUCACAUCCUGGGGCUGAAGUAGGUCCCAAGGGUAUGGCUGUUCGCCAUUUAAAGUGGUACGCGAGCUGGGUUUAGAACGUCGUGAGACAGUUCGGUCCCUAUCUGCCGUGGGCGCUGGAGAAUUGAGGGGGGCUGCUCCUAGUACGAGAGGACCGGAGUGGACGCAUCACUGGUGUUCGGGU